rnacentral:rRNA from 1 species
GAUGAACGCUAGCUACAGGCUUAACACAUGCAAGUCGAGGGAACGGAGCACGGGUGAGUAACACGUAUCAAACCCGCCCGUUACUAGGGGAUAGCCUUAAGAAAGAACGAUUAAUACCAGAUAUCAAAGAUGGGGAUGCGUUCACUGAGGUUGUUGGGGAGGUAACGGCCACCCAAGCCAUCGAUUGAUCGGGGUUCGGAGAGGAAGGUCCCCUACAUGGGAACGGAGACACGGUCCAAACUCCUACGGGAGGCAGCAGUGGGGAAUAUCGUGCAAUGGGGGUUAGCCUGAUCCAGCCAAGUAUCGUGAAGGAUGAAGGCUUAGGGGUCGUAAACUUCUUUUAUAUAAGGAUAUGUAUUAUAUGAAUAAGGAUCGGCUAACUCCGUGCCAGCAGCCGCGGUAAUAC